rnacentral:misc_RNA from 1 species
UCCUGGUUUCCCAGGCAGUCCCAUCAGAGUGCCUAUAAUAAAAUAGUAGCAACUGAUAGCAAGGGUUGCGCUCGUUAGAGGACUUAACCUAACGUCUCACGACACGAGCUGACGACAGCCAUGCAACACCUGUGAAAUUGUCUAAACCGAAGCCUAGAAAGCCGUAUUUCUACGGUUGUCAAAAACAUGUCAAGUCCAGGUAAGGUUCCUCGCGUAGUGUCGAAUUAAACCACAUGUUCCACCGCUUGUGCGGACCCCCGUCAAUUCCUUUAAGUUUUAGUCUUGCGACCGUACUCCCCAGGCGGAUCACUUAACGCGUUAGCUACGACACCAAUUCAGCAGAGCCGAACUGACGUCUAGUGAUCAUCGUUUACAGCGUGGACUAC